UGGGUGCUGCCGACUCAGAAGCCUGAUGCAGUGGACAUAAGCAGGGCAGCCUAUGUCCAUGGUAUCCACGUUUCAUGGUCUCCAGGUGAAAAGGGGCAUGAGAUGCCUAUGUCAUGAUGCAAGACCUGUACUUUCCAGGAAUUUCAUCAAGCUAACUAAAGAGAGGAAAUACAAAGUCUGUUUAUACUAAAGUUUUUGAUGUACUAUUCAGCUGCCAUAUUCAUAAUAGCAGUGGGAACAUAAAGAACAACAAUCUAAAGGAAGACAAAUCCUAUGUUUAAUGCAUCAUUACAAAGGCAGGGAAGAAUCAGAGAAGAUGAUGAGAAUUUGCUGGGGAAAUUCUCCUUGAGAUGAUCUUGGAUAUCCAGCUGAUUCUGAAGAAUAGUGUAGAGCUAUGUCUUCACCCCUAUAUCUUCAAAGAGCAGAAAAUGAAGGAGAGGAAGGAGAGAGGAGAGGCAGCUGACAAACAAGAGGAAGGAAGGGGAAACAAUGAAGAAGCAUGAAGCAGGGCUCUCCUUGAAGUAAAAAUAUCCUGGC